UACGAAGGACCCGAGCGUUAUCCGGAUUUAUUGGGUUUAAAGGGUGCGUAGGCGGAUUAGUAAGUCAGUGGUGAAAGCCCAUCGCUCAACGGUGGAACUGCCAUUGAUACUGCUAGUCUUGAGUAUGGUUGAGGUGGGCGGAAUGUGUCAUGUAGCGGUGAAAUGCUUAGAUAUGACACAGAACACCAAUUGCGAAGGCAGCUCGCUAAACCAUAACUGACGCUGAGGCACGAAAGCGUGGGGAGCAAAC
rnacentral:rRNA from 1 species